AGCUUUGUGCAGUGGCAGUAUCGUAGGCAAUGAGGGUUAUCCAAGGCGCGAUUAUUGCUAAUUGGGGGCUGGAGAGAUGACUCCACAGUUAAGAGAACAUCCUGCUCAUGCAG
rnacentral:snRNA from 14 species